rnacentral:piRNA from 1 species
AAUGACUGAAGAACUGUUUGAA